GACGAACGCUGGCGGCGUGCUUAACACAUGCAAGUCGAACGGAAAGGCCCUGCUUUUGUGGGGUGCUCGAGUGGCGAACGGGUGAGUAACACGUGAGUAACCUGCCCUUGACUUUGGGAUAACUUCAGGAAACUGGGGCUAAUACCGGAUAGGAGCUCCUGCUGCAUGGUGGGGGUUGGAAAGUUUCGGCGGUUGGGGCUGGACUCGCGGCUUAUCAGCUUGUUGGUGGGGUAGUGGCUUACCAAGGCUUUGACGGGUAGCCGGCCUGAGAGGGUGGCCGGCGACAAUGGGACUGAGGUACGGCCCAGACUCCUACGGGAGGCAGCAGUGGGGAAUAUUGCACAAUAGGCGGAAGCCUGAUGCAGCAACGCCGCGUGCGGGAUGACGGCCUUCGGGUUGUAAACCGCUUUCGCCUGUGACGAAGCGUGAGUGACGGUAAUGGGUAAAGAAGCACCGGCUAACUACGUG
rnacentral:rRNA from 1 species